AGAAUCAACGCUGGCGGCGUGCCUAACACAUGCAAGUCGAACGAGAAAGUGGAGCAAUCCAUGAGUAAAGUGGCGCACGGGUGAGUAACACGUGACUAACCUACCCUUGAGUGGGGGAUAACCUAGGGAAACCUGGGCUAAUACCGCAUAAUACCUUCGGGUCAAAGGAGCAAUUCGCUUUAGGAGGGGGUCGCGGCCGAUUAGUUAGUUGGCGGGGUAAUGGCCCACCAAGACUGUGAUCGGUAUCCGGCCUGAGAGGGCGCACGGACACACUGGAACUGAAACACGGUCCAGACUCCUACGGGAGGCAGCAGUGGGGAAUUUGCGCAAUGGGGGAAACCCUGACGCAGCAACGCCGCGUGGAGGAUGAAAUCCCUUGGGAUGUAAACUCCUUUCGAUAGGGAAGAUAAUGACGGUACCUAUAGAAGAAGCCCCGGCUAACUUCGUGCCAGCAGCCGC
rnacentral:rRNA from 1 species